GACGAACGCUGGCGGCGUGCUUAACACAUGCAUGUCGAACGGAAAGGCCCUGCUUUUGUGGGGUGCUCGAGUGGCGAACGGGUGAGUAACACGUGAGUAACCUGCCCUUGACUUUGGGAUAACUUCAGGAAACUGGGGCUAAUACCGGAUAGGAGCUCCUGCUGCAUGGUGGGGGUUGGAAAGUUUCGGCGGUUGGGGAUGGACUCGCGGCUUAUCAGCUUGUUGGUGGGGUAGUGGCUUACCAAGGCUUUGACGGGUAGCCGGCCUGAGAGGGCGACCGGCCACAUUGGGACUGAGAUACGGCCCAGACUCCUACGGGAGGCAGCAGUGGGGAAUAUUGCACAAUGGGCGGAAGCCUGAUGCAGCAACGCCGCGUGCGGGAUGACGGCCUUCGGGUUGUAAACCGCUUUCGCCUGUGACGAAGCGUGAGUGACGGUAAUGGGUAAAGAAGCACCGGCUAACUACGUGCCAGCAGCCGCGGUGAUACGUAGGGUGCGAGCGUUGUCCGGAUUUAUUGGGCGUAAAGGGCUCGUAGGUGGUUGAUCGCGUCGGAAGUGUAAUCUUGGGGCUUAACCCUGAGCGUGCUUUCGAUACGGGUUGACUUGAGGAAGGUAGGGGAGAAUGGAAUUCCUGGUGGAGCGGUGGAAUGCGCAGAUAUCAGGAGGAACACCAGUGGCGAAGGCGGUUCUCUGGGCCUUUCCUGACGCUGAGGAGCGAAAGCGUGGGGAGCGAACAGGCUUAGAUACCCUGGUAGUCCACGCUGUAAACGGUGGGUACUAGGUGUGGGGUCCAUUCCACGGGUUCCGUGCCGUAGCUAACGCUUUAAGUACCCCGCCUGGGGAGUACGGCCGCAAGGCUAAAACUCAAAGGAAUUGACGGGGCCCCGCACAAGCGGCGGAGCAUGCGGAUUAAUUCGAUGCAACGCGUAGAACCUUACCUGGGUUUGACAUGGAUCGGGAGUGCUCAGAGAUGGGUGUGCCUCUUUUGGGGUCGGUUCACAGGUGGUGCAUGCCUGUCGUCAGCUCGUGUCGUGAGAUGUUGGGUUAAGUCCCGCAACGAGCGCAACCCUUGUUCACUGUUGCCAGCACGUUAUGGUGGGGACUCAGUGGAGACCGCCGGGGUCAACUCGGAGGAAGGUGGGGAUGACGUCAAGUCCUCAUGCCCCUUAUGUCCAGGGCUUCACGCAUGCUACAAUGGCUGGUACAGAGAGUGGCGAGCCUGUGAGGGUGAGCGAAUCUCGGAAAGCCGGUCUCAGUUCGGAUUGGGGUCUGCAACUCGACCUCAUGGAGUCGGAGUCGCUAGUAAUCGCAGAUCAGCAACGCUGCGGUGAAUACGUUCCCGGG
rnacentral:rRNA from 1 species